AGAGUUUGAUCAUGGCUCAGAGCGAACGCUGGCGGCAGGCCUAACACAUGCAAGUCGAACGGACCCUUCGGGGUUAGUGGCGGACGGGUGAGUAACACGUGGGAACGUGCCUUUAGGUUCGGAAUAGCUCCUGGAAACGGGUGGUAAUGCCGAAUGUGCCCUUCGGGGGAAAGAUUUAUCGCCUUUAGAGCGGCCCGCGUCUGAUUAGCUAGUUGGUGAGGUAAUGGCUCACCAAGGCGACGAUCAGUAGCUGGUCUGAGAGGAUGACCAGCCACAUUGGGACUGAGACACGGCCCAAACUCCUACGGGAGGCAGCAGUGGGGAAUCUUGCGCAAUGGGCGAAAGCCUGACGCAGCCAUGCCGCGUGAAUGAUGAAGGUCUUAGGAUUGUAAAAUUCUUUCACCGGGGACGAUAAUGACGGUACCCGGAGAAGAAGCCCCGGCUAACUUCGUGCCAGCAGCCGCGGUAAUACGAAGGGGGCUAGCGUUGCUCGGAAUUACUGGGCGUAAAGGGCGCGUAGGCGGAUCGUUAAGUCAGAGGUGAAAUCCCGGAGCUCAACUUCGGAACUGCCUUUGAUACUGGCGAUCUUGAGUGUGAGAGAGGUAUGU
rnacentral:rRNA from 1 species